rnacentral:rRNA from 1 species
UACGAACGCUGGCGGCGUGCCUAAUACAUGCAAGUCGAACGCUUUUUCUUUCACCGGAGCUUGCUCCACCGAAAGAAAGAGAGUGGCGAACGGGUGAGUAACACGUGGGUAACCUGCCAUCAGAAGGGGAUAACACUUGGAAACAGGUGCUAAUACCGUAUAACACUAUUUUCCGCAUGGAAGAAAGUUGAAAGGCGCUUUUGCGUCACUGAUGGAUGGACCCGCGGUGCAUUAGCUAGUUGGGGAGGUAACGGCUCACCAAGGCAACGAUGCAUAGCCGACCUGAGAGGGUGAUCGGCCACACUGGGACUGAGACACGGCCCAGACUCCUACGGGAGGCAGCAGUAGGGAAUCUUCGGCAAUGGACGAAAGUCUGACCGAGCAACGCCGCGUGAGUGAAGAAGGUUUUCGGAUCGUAAAACUCUGUUGUUAGAGAAGAACAAGGAUGAGAGUAAAACGUUCAUCCCUUGACGGCAUCUAACCAGAAAGCCACGGCUAACUACGUGCCAGCAGCCGCAGUAA